GAUGAACGCUGGCGGCGUGCCUAAUACAUGCAAGUCGAGCGAACGGACGAGAAGCUUGCUUCUCUGAUGUUAGCGGCGGACGGGUGAGUAACACGUGGAUAACCUACCUAUAAGACUGGGAUAACUUCGGGAAACCGGAGCUAAUACCGGAUAAUAUUUUGAACCGCAUGGUUCAAAAGUGAAAGACGGUCUUGCUGUCACUUAUAGAUGGAUCCGCGCUGCAUUAGCUAGUUGGUAAGGUAACGGCUUACCAAGGCAACGAUGCAUAGCCGACCUGAGAGGGUGAUCGGCCACACGGGAACUGAGACACGGUCCAGACUCCUACGGGAGGCAGCAGUAGGGAAUCUUCCGCAAUGGGCGAAAGCCUGACGGAGCAACGCCGCGUGAGUGAUGAAGGUCUUCGGAUCGUAAAACUCCGUUAUUAGGGAAGAACAUAUGUGUAAGUAACUGUGCACAUCUUGACGGUACCUAAUCAGAAAGCCACGGCUAACUACGUG
rnacentral:rRNA from 1 species